UACAAUAUAUGCCUUUAGAGUCUAGAACUAACUAAUACAAUAAUACUAAAGUAAAAAUAUCUCAAAUGUAUGCCAAUGUAAACUUGCAGGAUAUUUAAUUCCUGUCAGUAUGUGUGCUAAUAUUUUGAACACUGUCCCCCAUUAUGACAUCAAUAAUUUUGUGGGUGCAUAAGCGUUUACAUUCGGUCAGCCUAUGUUGUUGUCAUUGUCAUAGCCCUAGUUGUAUCUUUUGUUUUAGAUUCUACAUUUUGUAUUCCCCUUUUUCCCCCACAGAGAGACAGUCCACCCUAGAAAAACGAAUGAGGACACAACAUCAGUCCAGUCCAAAACUUCAGAGCAAAAGAAAAUGCAGGCCAAACCCUAGGCUUGUUGAAGAGGAGACCAGUAAUGAUGGACCAUCUAGCCACAAAAGAAAUGCCAAAACUCCUUAGUACAAUGGGCAAGCUGGGAAAAUGUCUUGAAGCGAAGGAGCAGAGCACACAGGAACAACUGGCAUCACCUUCCAGCCUACAGGAAACUGAAUGCAGUGAUCCAGAAAUUUCCAGGGGCCA